GGGUGCGACACGGUGACGUGGGGCGGAUCCCUGAAAACCGGUCUCAGUUCGGAUCGCAGUCUGCAACUCGACUGCGUGAAGGUGGAGUCGCUAGUAAUCGCGGAUCAGCAACGCCGCGGUGAAUGCGUUCCCGGGCCUUGUACACACCGCCCGUCAAGUCAUGAAAGUGGGCAGCACCCGAAGACGGUGGCCUAACCCUUGUGGGGGGAGCCGUCUAAGGUGAGGCUCGUGAUUGGGACUAAGUCGUAACAAGGUAGC
rnacentral:rRNA from 1 species